rnacentral:lncRNA from 1 species
AUCCUACCCUUCACACAUAUGUACAAGAUUGGGUCAGUUUUAUGCAAAGAUCAUGUGGAUACAUCCAAAAGAAGAAAAAGGAGAUUGACAUUUUCAGAAAGCAUUUGCAUGCAAAAGGAUAUGUGGCAAACAUUGCAACAACCAAGACAAUAUAGAUUCACAUGCAAAAGAAAAUGUGGCAAACACUGCAGCAACCAAGACAACAUAAAUUCACAUGACAUUCAAGCAAAGACAAGACAACUAACUUUCAGAAACAGUGCUGGCAAUUUUCAGAAACAGUGUGCUGUCACUAUUCAAAAAAUUGUAAAUAGAUGAAAUGUUAUUUUGUCUUUGAAGAAUUAGAUUUUGUAUAUAAG